rnacentral:rRNA from 1 species
UACGGGGGGGGGCAAGCGUUGUUCGGAAUUACUGGGCGUAAAGGGCGUGUAGGCGGCCAACUAAGUCCGACGUGAAAUCCCCAGGCUUAACCUGGGAACUGCGUCGGAUACUGGAUGGCUUGAAUCCGGGAGAGGGAUGCAGAAUUCCAGGUGUAGCGGUGAAAUGCGUAGAUAUCUGGAGGAAUACCGGUGGCGAAGGCGGCAUCCUGGACCGGCAUUGACGCUGAAGCGCGAAAGCUAGGGGAGCAAACGGGG